ACAUUCUUGUCAAACUAACAAGUAUAAUGAGAUUGGUUGGUUGCUCCUAUAGCACCAGACCACAUGGGGAAAGAAAUGGAGCAGCUCAAGGAUAUCAACUUCCAGCUGAAGUGCCACAUAAACGAGCUGAGAUUGCUGAAAAACCAAAACCAGAAACUCAUCCCAAGUGGCUGAAGUAUAGUACAAAUUGAAUUUCCAACCUCGCUGCAUUCUACUCUUAAAGGAUAUGUGCACAUAAAUCCAUCUUCCAUCUAUGCUCUGCUGACUCAUUCGGAAAAAUCAGAAGUGAGAUGGUCGUUCUUCUCUGUUAAUAAUUACACAGGGACCUAAUGUAAAUAGAAGGAAUUAUAUGGAGAUCUUCCCAUCUAAUACAUGGUAUUUAUUUUCAUAAUUGUAUUAUGAUACAGGAAGCAUCAUCACUCAUUUUACAAAUAAAGUAUGUUAUAGAAUAGGAA